rnacentral:tRNA from 1 species
UCCCUGGUAGCCCAGUGGUUAAGGAUACAGCCUUGUCACUGCUGUGGCCCAGGUUCCAUUCCUGGCCUGGGAA